CUGGGAAGUUCUUGCAGGCUGUGUUGGAUGACAAAUUUUGCUCAUUUGAAUAACUUAGUCACCCUAUGCCAGCAGUUCUUAUGAGAUAGUUUUAUGCUUUUGUAGAGGAUUUGGUGCAAAGUGAGCGAAAAGGAUAAACGUUCUUGUCAUCCUCGAGCUAUAUGUGGGCUCCACCCCUUGUAUUCUUCUGUCCAGGUUGCUAGUGGGUUCUGGAGCCAUAACCUACAGAAUCACAGAAUCAUAGGAGCUGAAAGGGACCUCUGGAGAUCAGCUCCUCUGCUAAAUCAGGUUCCCUAGAAUAGGUUGUGCAGGAAAGUGUCCAGGCAGAUUUUUGUAUAUCUCUACAACUUCUCUGGGCAACUUGUUCCAGCACUUUGUCACCUCAAAGUAGAGAAUUUUUUUCUCAUGUUCAUAUGGAACUUCCUGUAUUCCAGUCUGUGCCCAUUGCCCCUUGUCUUGUUGCUGGGCACCACCAAAAAGAGCCUAGCUUGAUAACUGCCAUUUUAGAUUUCUAUAAGCACUGAUAAGAUUCCCUCUCAUUCUCCUUUAGGCUCAACAGUCACAGGUCUCUCAGCCUUUCCUCAUACAAGAGAUAUUCCAGGCCCCUAACCAUCACUGUAGCCCUCCCCUAUACUCUCUCCAGUAGUUCCUGUCUUUCUUGAACUGGAGAGACCAGAACUGGACACAGUAUCUCAGAUGUGUCUUACCAAGGCAGGGCAGAGCAGAGGGGGAGGAUAACGUCCCUCGACCUGCUGACCUCACUCUUUUUAAUGCACUCCAGGAUCCCAUUGGCCUUCUUGCCCACAAGGGCGCACUGCUGGCUCAUGGCCAACCUGUUGUUCACCAGGACACCACAAGUCCUUCUCUGCAGAGCUCCUUUCCAGCAGGUCAUCCCCUAACCUGUACUAAUGUGUGCAGUUAUUCCUCCCCAGGUACAAGACUCUGUGCUUUCUCUCGUUGAAGCUCAUCAGGUUAAUCUCUGCUCAACUCUCCAGCCUGUUCAGGUCUUGAUGGUCAGCAGCACAGCCUGGUGUGUCAGCCACUCCUCCCAGCUUCUUAUCCUCAGCAAACUUGCUGAGGGUGCACUCUAUCACUUCAUUCAGGUCAUUGGUGAAGAUGUUGAACAAGAAUGGACCCAGUACCUACCCCUGGGGAACACAGCUAGCUACAGACCUCCAAGUGAACUCCGUGUCACUGAUCACAACACUCUGUGUUGUGCCAGUUCUUAGUCCACCUCACUGUUCACUCAUCUAUCUCACACUUCUUUAGCUUACCUACGAGGAUGUUACAACAUAGAAGGCUACCAUAUUGGUCAAGCAUGAUUUCCCCUUGUUGUAUCCAUGUUGACUAUUCCUGAUAACCUUCUUUUCUUCCACUUGCUUGGAGAUUACAUCCAGGAUAAGUUAUUCCUUCAUCUUUCCUGGGACGGAGUUGAGGCUGUCUGGUCUGCAAUUUCCUGGGUUCUCUUUCUUGCCCUUAUUGAAGACUGGAGUGACAUCGGUUUUCCUUCAGUCUUCAGGCACCUCUCAUGUUCUCCAUGACCUUCCAAAGAUGAUAGAGAGUAGCUUGGCAAUCACUUCUGCCAGCUCUCCCAGCAUCCCAUCAGAGUGCAUGGAUUUGUGUGUGUUGAGUUUGCCUAGAUGAUCUCUAACUAGAUCUUCCUCAAUCAAGGGGAAGUCCUUCCUUCAUACUCUCUCUCUUACAUCCAGAGUCUGGGAUUCCCGAGGGCCAGUCUUAGUUUUAAAGAUUGAAGCAAAGAAGGCAUUUAGUAAAUCUGCCUUCUCAAUGUUCUCCAUUACCAUGGCACCCACCUCAUUCAACAGCAGGCCCACAUUUUCCAUAGUCUUCCUUUUGAUAUACUUCCUGUUGAUAUACUUAAAGAAGUCCUUCUUGCUGUCCUUGACAGAUUUAAUUCCAAGUUGGCCUUAGCCUUUCUGGCUAAGAGCUGAAUGACCAGUGUGUGAGGAAAGGAUUUCUUCACACAAAUGCCUUUCUCCCCACUUCUUACUGCAGUCUUGGUCUCCUGAGAGAACUUAGGUUUAAACAUUGAAUCACAAAAUGGCUUGGGUUGGAAAGGGACCCCAAAGAUCAUCAAGUUCCAGUCCCUCUGUCACAGGCAGGGCCACCAACCUUCUCUUGGUAAAGCCAUGCUGGCUGUCUUGGAUCACCUGCUCAUUCCUCAUGUGCUUUAACAUGUCUUCUAGGAGGAAGAACAUUUGGUGCUGAAAGCUAUGGGGAAAUCUGAGUCUCCCACUCAGACAUUUAAGUGUUUGCAUAAAUGUCCUUCUAAUGUCUUCUGUUAAGCCCCAAAGUAAUACUAAGAAUUACUUGAGAUAUUUUGUCAUCCACAGCCUUUUAGUUGAAAGCCUUAGAGGUAUUAUAGCCCAGGUCUUUAUAUCUCAAUGACAGUUCUUCAUCCACCUGAGACAGUGGCUCUCGAAGAGCUAGAGCUGCAUGCUUAGCCGCCACUCUAAUGCAAGAGGUUGCAUUUGGCAAAGGCACAAUUUGUUUCUAAAAUUGUCUCCAAGAUCCCUUGUAUGCAUUUGUAUCUCCCAGACUACUAGCCAGCUGGUAUUUUACAUAGUGUAAUUGUUUGUUUAGCUAAUGAAGUGGGAAAAAACAAAGAGCUGAGAUCCUGAGUAGCCCUGAGAGAGAGGAGGAGGAGGAACAUAGCCGCCAGGGUGUUGAACUGCAGCCCUAAGGGAUAGUUUUGAUUCCUGACUCAAGAGAGUCAUGGUUGAAAUGCAGAAAAAGAUGCCUCAGCACAAAAAGAGGAGGAAGAUGCUGGGAGCUGCCUGCUUUUCCUGUUUAUCUCAUUGGGAGGAACUACUGCAAUGAUGUGUGAUGGAGAACAGCUUUUGUCUGCUGAUGCUUACUCAGAGCAGGCAUGAUCUACUUCUGCAAACAUUUCCACUCUUCCUUCUGGAAGGAAAGAACAUGCUCACAGAAGUGUGGUUUCCCUUCCUUGUGGCCUUUGCCCUACCAUUUAAUGAAAGGCUGUUCCUUUAGUUGUUUUUCUGAUGCUGAAGGAUCUAGUGUGAAGCUCCUGCCUGGAGGAGCUUUGCUGGUGAGCAGAAAGCACAAGGAAAACAAUAAAAUGUCUUCCUGCAUCCCCCACCCUCUUUAAUUUUCUGGUUUGACUUCAAAUGCAGGCUACCAUCAUUUCCACAUGGAACAGCCACAUGAAAAGCACCGCUAAACAGUUCUGAGUUUCCCAGCAAGAAUCACAGCAGCUAAAUAUAUUUAAUCUGUGGGUAUUGUUCAUGUUGGCUUUAAUUUCCUGUUCUCAAAAGGUUUAGGAAUUUAAACCCCUGAGUCAUUACUGAAGCCGUUAAUGCUUGAAGCCUUUUUCAGAAAUGAAGAUAAAGGAAGUGAUAUUAAUACCAGCUUAGCAUGAAUUGAGCCAGAAUAGCUCUGUGAGAAAUUCAUUGCCAUCCCAGAGACAUCACUUAGUUUCUAACCAUGACGAAAGCUGCCCAGAAGCAGGUAGGUGGAUGAGGUCAUUCUCCCUGAGGUGAAUAAGAUGCUUCUCAUUUAAAACUAAAAAAAAAACCAAAAGUCUCUCUGGCAAGUUAUGGGCUGCAACAUCCCCAUCUGGAAACUUCUAGAGCACUCUACUCUUCUUUUGUUUCUAAAAAUUGCAGUAUCUUUCUAAGCAGUGAUUUCUCAGAGUUUAUUUGUGAGAUUUCCCUGGAGCUGGAGGUGAUAUACUCACUCAUGCUGAAUAAAAGAUUGGAAGAAAACUUUCCCUUCGUUCAAUGUAGUUAGGUCUUCAGGUUCGUGCUUCUGUACUUGCAGAUCUUGAUGCUUUCUCCCAAAGUCCUGAUGACAACAGGCACCUCAGAUGCAAGGUCCAGCCACAAGAUGCUUCAGUGGACGAUGUGGCUUCCAUUGCUAAGGAGACUGAACAGGAUUUAGGACAAAUCAAGUCCUUAAUCUUCUUUCAGGGGCCUGGUUUAGCUGCAAGACAGCAACAAGCUGCCUUUGACUCUAAGUGAACACUAAAGGCCAAAACAAAGUCCAGGGAAAUUUGAAUAGAUCCUAACAAAUGACUGUAGUUAGAAGUGAAAUGAAAACUUUGUGGGAACUGGUAUUUAUUUUCAUGUCAAUGUGGUUUUAUUUCUGGAAUGUGAUAGGAAGAGAAUAAUACAUAUUGGAAGAGGCUUCUGGAGGUCAUUUAGCCUAAUCCGCUUCUCACAACAGGGUCAACUGCUUUGAUGUAAAUGUUGAUGACCAUGACCGUGAAUAUGGAAGAAGCUGCCUCCACUGCUCUUCUUUGGAUUGUGCCUUUGGGUAGCACAGAAGCAGGGAAACUAUGAGGCAUCUUCAGAACCUAGGAGCUCCACAGAGAUGGAAAAGACUUGGAAGGAACAAACUUGGUCUUCUUAUCAAUCUUGAUUUAAUGAUAUGUGCUGUCUGUAAGUUGUGUUAUCUCCCUAUGUAAGACAGAUUUCACUAACUUUAUUAGGCAAACAUUGCUAAAGCAAACAGAAAAUAGCAGCAAUGCUGAGUGAAAUGAGAGAGCAAGUAGGAAUGGAUUUAAUUGCUGUGUCCCAAGCAGUGGUGAAAUGUUUAGCUGCUCAGACCAUGGAGGCACCUCUUUUACCACCCAGACAUGAUGCUGCCUUCAGGCUGAGCUCAAAGCAGGACAGAACAGAGCUUUAUCAAGAGGAAGAGAAAUAGAUGAGGUGGAGAACCAUUUUUAUGUUGAGUCCUUGCUGUCAUAUGAGAAUAUGGUGAAAGGAAGAAGGGGCCUGACACACAGCAGUGUGUUGUGGCAGCUCAGGUCCAUCAGGAAUGGCUGGAACAGCUUCCCAUCAGAAUUCAUGUCAGAGGUUUGGGAGAGAGCUUGAAGCAACCAUGCUGGAAGGGUAUCGUGGCCAGCUCUCCAGGCAGGUGUGCUCAGCAUGUGCUCAGAAAGGACUCCUGGCUCAGCCUGAUAGGAUAAGCAGGAGUGGAUGAGUUGCAUGGCUGCUGCUGCCUCUUGAGCAGUGCUCUCAUUUUACUUGAGGCCCUGUGAGGCUAUCUAGGGCAGUUUGGCUUCAUUCUGUAUUUGCAAAGCCCUGCAGCAUGCUUGUUCCUGUUGCGCUUGUUUUAAGGAAAGAGCCUUCUGUCCCCUUCUUGCCUCUAUUUUCCAUCAUCAAUUAGCUUGAGUCUCUGAGACUACAGCGCAUGACCACUUCUUUUCCUUUCACUCUGGAGCUAUUCCUGCUCUUGUAACAAGCUUUCACAGAGCCAGCAAGCAUCAGGAUGAGUCUGAGCCUCUGGGGCUGUCUCUCCAUCUGUUUGUUUAAUGACACGCAGCAGCCUCAUCUCUGACUUUGCACCCUCGGGACAAUAAUCCACUCCGAUGCUCAGGCCAGCCAGCUAUUCUGUGAUGAGGCUGUGGCUGGUGCACUGUAGGUUGGAGGUGGUUUCAAAACACUUCCUCUGAAUUUCAUUAUGGCUCAGAUUCUUUGUGGAAAAGAAAGGGCAUGAGCACUUGCAGUGUUGCUGCUGUUCUGUGAGGCUGAAUGUGGGUUCACAAUGAUGGUGAUAGCAACAGAUCUUGUUUUUAAAAUACUUCUACACAGUUUCAUGAAGCAGUGAAGGGUUGCUGUACUUGCCAAGCAAUCCAGAAUCACCACCUUCAGGAAAUACUUAUGGCAAAAUGGGCCACAUCAGAUGGCUUCGGAGCUGUUCUCCACCCUCUGAAUGCCAUGCAGAUAAGAGAGGAAAGAAAAAGCACUUCUGUAUCCAGUGCUUAGAAGAACCCUUAGCUGGAGGUCAGGGGUGGAGGUGGGGGGAAUGGUGAGCAAAAGGGCAGUGGUACCAAAUGAUCUCUGAAGGUGGUCCUUGAAAUUACUCAGUGAGAGUGAUUAAGCUUUAGGGAAGAGAGACCUCAGAAGAGUGCUGGUUUCAAAAUCUUUCUUUGCUACCUGCUUGGUUCCUGCUGUCUUUCUGGUGAGAGCUACAUGGUGGCUGCAUACUGAAGUCAGGCUGCCCAAGGGACAAUCAGCAGGGACCAUCCUGUGGAUGAGCAAAAUAUCCCCCAAGAAAGAAGAGGUCUCCCCAGGGGUGUGCUUUGGUUUUAGUGCUCCACCAAGAAUGGGAGAACAUUCCUCUCCUUUGGGGUAGCAUCAGGAAAAUUCAUAGUUAUCCCCUAGUUUGGCUCUUCCUUUCUGGUUUAGAUAUGGAGGUCACAGGUGGUAAUUCCAGCUUGUUGUGCCUUACAGUGCAUUUUGUAGGUAGAUGGAGAGCUUGCCCGAAUAGUUUGAUAGAAUCUUCAUACAAAAUGAGGGCCUGCUCUUCCAUGGGCCAUCCCGACCCAGGAUGCUGUGAGCAGAACUUUCUGAAGCAGGUAAUUAUAUGGCCCCAAGGCUUUCUGCCCAGUGUGGGCAAGUGCUCUUGUGUUUGGUGAAAAGAAGCUUUGGUACGUAGCUGAGCCAAUAUUCAGGCAAGGAGCUCAACUCCAAUGAGACAAGGCUAAAGCCAAGUGAACUGUGGGAAUGUUUUAGUGUACUCAAGUUAUUUCCAUUGAGUGGGAACUGAUUGAUUUGUUUACUUAAAGAAAGUAGAUGUUCAACAUAAAGGUGAACAUUUUAAGAUGCUACCAGUUGGUCUUCCUUAAAAUAUGGUGAACCCAUAGCCUCCACUUGAUGACAGAGGUCUGUGCUAUUGAAGUCUGUACCUCUCAUGCCCUUGUGAAGGGAGAGAGCCUUCAGAGCUCUGGAGAAAGCAGGACUAUGCUUGUGGUGAUGCCUUUGAAGAGGGAAGGGCCACUGAUGCAUGAAGCUCCCUCAGUUUCCCUAGCACAGCAUUUUUCUGGAGCUUAUCUAUGCAAUAAGCCUUUCAGGUGCCUGUUUGCCCUGUGGUAGUAGAAGGACAAAGCAGUUUGCCCCAUUACAAGAAACUCCCUCUGCUCUACCUUAUUCAGGAGCAGUCAGGAAAUCUGUCUCUCUCCCCCACUCCCCCAUAGUGCUUUCCUUUCUCCAAAAGCAGCAUGCCACAUUUUUCUCUUACCCCAGCAAUGAAUCUGGGUUAUUGUUUGCUCAAGGUUAUUGAUGCUACCUGCUCUUUCAGCAGGAAAAGCCUCCACGCACAGCUGGGAGAGAGCCCGCAGAUUUUCCCAAUCUCCAUUUAUGCAGAAGACACUGAGCAGAGUGUAAAAGGGAUGACAGAAGCAUGGCACGAUCCUCCUCCUUCCCUCCCCUUCCUGGCCCUUUGAUUCAAGGAGCAGGGGCUGGUUUGUGAAUGAGGAGCUGAAACUCAUUCAGACUGAACGAGUAACUGAUAAAGGAUGCUUGUUAGCUGAAGCCAACCACAAAAAGGUAGCAGUUCUCAGGAGGGGGCUUAUUUCCCAGUGAUUCAUCGGUGCAUAACAGAUGCAAGGAACUAAUAAAAUAUUACAGACGUGCGGAGCUUUGAUCUUUCUGCUCUUUCUUUCGUUUUCCCAGGGGUGAGGGCUGUUGUUGAAGUGAAUGGAGAGGAAAAGGCUAAUCUGGCAGCAGGGCUUGUGGAGAGGAGGUCAGUAGCCCCAGUCCAGAAGCAUUCUUUGGGGCUUGACGGAGAUUGGCCAUAGUGCAUUUGUGUAGGCUUUGCAGCACUUGCUCUGCUUCCCCUUGCACUGAUGUUAACCUGCUUGCAGGUCUGCUGAAGUCGGGCUGGGGCAUGAAUGAACAUUUUGCUGUUAUAUUUCUUUCUGCAAGCUCAGAACUGUGAGCAUGAAAAAGUAAAAUGCAUUUCUGGGUCAAAAGCUCUUGUCUUCCCAACUUCUGUUUCAGCUGCUGUAACUCCCAGAGACCUAACAGCCUUGAAUCUGGGGCCCUCAACAGCCACCAGCUUGGAAUUUAUUUUUUUUUUACUGUGACUGAUCUUCAGGAUGACUACAUUUAAGUUUUGUCUCUGUGAAUGCAAUGAAGAGAGAAAUUUGUUUCCGUUACAGAGAAAUCACUACAGUAAGACUCCCCCAGCCCUGGGGCUUGCAUGUAAAAAAGCACAAACAUCAGUAGCAUGCUAAGAGUGGCCGCCUGCUUCUGGGUUAUCUGUCCACUGUUGUCUGUCAGUCUGGCUGUCAUUACACAAAGGAAGCCAAUUCACAUUAGCAUGCAAUUUCUGCAGAGGAUUGGAUUGCAAUUUAUAUGUACAUAUAUUUCCUUAAGAAGACACAUUUGUGAGUAUGUCUCUCUUAAAAGUGCACUUUUUCAUUAACUCAUCAGGUCUGGCUUCUUUCCUAAGCCUUCUGCUCUCCCCACAUGCCUUGUCUAAGCAGCUUCCCCCUACUCCACCUUACUCUGCUUGACCACUGGAUUUGCAGCACCAGUUUUUGUCUUGCCCUCUCCUGCCAGUCUGUGUGUGCAACGCCUGCUGUUCGCUGUUCAUUUCCUGCAGACGUGGGUACUCUUCCCCUGCAGCGAUGAAGUUGUGAUGCCUCGUCCCCAUUGGGGUGUGGGGUCUGGCUCUGCAGGUCUUCCUCCUCCAUGAUGUCAUUCUGUCAGACUGCUCACCUGCUGCCAUUUGUUAUAUGGCAACAAAAUGUAACAGAAUAUAGGCAGGAAAGUUCAGCCUCUGCUGCCAUACCACCAACAUCCAUCUCUGAUGUCAUGGGUCAAGAUCAAAAAAUAGGAGGCCUUAGUUUCAGAGCAGCCCUUGUAUAUAAGUGUCUCUUGUCUCCUCGCUGAGGGUUACUGAUCUGUAAGCUAUGUAAGAAAUAGGCUGGGUCUGUUAAUGGAAACAGGAACUGUAGGACAGUCAUAGAAUCAUAGAAUGGCUUAGGUUGGAACUUUAAAGACCAUCUAGUUCCAACCCCCCUGCUGUUGGCUUGUUGCAGCGCACCAGAUCAGGCUGCCCAGGGCCAUAUCCAGCCUGGCCUUGAACAUCUUCCACAACUCCUCGGCAACCUGUUCCAAUCCCUCACCACCCCCUGAGAAAAUAAUUUUUCCUAAUAUCUAACCUAAAUUUCCCUGAGCCAUUCCUCCUUGUCCUAUCCCUGUUAUACCAGGUAAAAAGUCUCCCUCCUUCCUGUUCAUAACCUCCCUUUCAGGUACUGGAAGGCCAUGAUGAGGUGUCCCUGGAGCCUUCUCUUCUACAAAUUAAAGAAGCCCAGCUCCCUGAACCUUCUCAUCAGAGAGCUAGUCCCUCCCUCUGAUCAUCUAAUGGCCCUCCUCUGGACCCACUCCAACAAUUCCACAUCUUUACCGUGUUGGGAACUCAAGGCCUGGAUGCAGCACUUCAGAUGGGGCUUCAUGAGGGCAGAGCAAAGAGGGACAAUCCCCUCCUUUGCCCUGCUGGCCACUCCUCUUUUGAUGCAGCCCAAGAUGCAGUUGCCCUUCUGGGCUGCAAGCACCUUGCACUUGGCCUAUUAAACAUCACUAGGUUCUUGUAAGCCCAACUGGUCCCAAGAUGAGCACCUGGGUGACAACACUCAUCACCAGCCUCCACAGAGGACACAGAGCUAUUGGCCACAACCCUCUGGCUUCAACCAUCCAACUAAUUCUUUAUCCACUGAGUAGUCCACCUUUCAAAUCUGUAUCUCUGCAAGUUAGAGAUGUGGAUGUGGUAAGGGACCAUGCACAAGUCCAAGUAGAUGACAUCAGUUACCCUUCCUUGGUUCACUGAUGCCAUCACUACAUCACGGAAGGCCACCAGAUUGGUCAGGCACCAUCUGCCCUUGAGGAAGCUGUGCUGGCUGUCUCAGAUUGUCACCUCUUCAUCUUGCAUGUGACACAAGUGCUAUGGUGUUCAUUUGAAGGUUAUCAAAGAAGCUUAGAGAUAUGUUAUACUGGAAACAGGUAAAGGUGAGGGAUUUAUUUAAUGUCAGAUUGCAGCUCAAGAUCUCCCUAGGACCUGUCUGCUCCAUGUAAAGUAUUUUAGUUGUUUGGCCUGAAUUCAUUGAAUUCCUUGACUGUCCUGUGGGCACUCUAAUCACCAUAGUUGGGAGGUCUAGAUUAGGGUGCAGGAACAAAGUCACCAAUGUGCAGCUAUGGAUUGUUUUUCAGCUGCCUCAUAGAUCUUAUCUGUCAGGCUUUUUAGCAGAAAUCUGCUAAAAGGUUUCUGCGUGUGUAUCAUUUGAGUGGUUCUCUAACCAGUUAUUCUCUUGCUGAGCAGGAGUGACAGAAGGACUGACUGCCAAAAGCUGGGCACACAGAAGUGAUGGCUGUAGUCAGAUCCCCCUAUGGAAGCAGGUAGGCAGCUUGGUAGAGAGAUGCCUGUGGGAGUCAGGACUGGUUGAUUUUCUAUCCUUGUGCUGUUUAACAUGAAAGAAAGAAAGAGGAAGGAAGGAAGGAAGGAAGGAAGGAAGGAAGGAAGGAAGGAAGGAAGGAAGGAAGGAACGAAGGAACGAAGGAACGAAGGAACGAAGGAAGGAAGGAAGAUUGAUUGAUUUCAAUUUAAAAUGGCUCUUCUGUCCUCUAAACUUAAAAGCAAACUAGAUGGGGGAGGGAGAACUGGCAGACACCCUUGAGGUCUGGAUACUUAAAAUAAGAUCCUUUUUUUGUUGUUUUGUUUUAAACUUGGUUUGCCAAAAACUCUUAGUAAGACUUCUUGCACUGAUCUGGGACAGGAAAACAUUGCAAAAUACCACAUUCUGGUCAGACAGUAACAUUGUUUCCUGCCCUGCUCAAAUACCAGCCAUGAAGUCCUUCUGCCUCAGUUCUUGCGAUGGCUUUUCUCCAAUGUUUGCCUUCUCCACUGGGGUGGAUUCUGACACUUCCUGCUGGUCUGGGGGAUUGGCUGAAGCCACUCCAAGCCUGUAGACAGAACAGCUUAAAUGCUUGCUUGCUGCUCUGGAGCUAAAUCUCUAUUCCCUGAUGAUAUUCCCUGCAAGAUCCCUCCCAUUCACCUCCAGAAAACCAGCUGGCAGAUAAAAAUCCAGCCAACUGGAUUUAUAACCACCACAUGAAAGCUGCAAGAUAAGUGCAAAAAGCCAUAUCCUUCUGUUAUUCUCCUAAAAGCAUGGCUGAGCUCUAGAGUUCAGCUUGUCACAGAUGAUGAGGUUAAUUCUGCAGGCAGAUUGGCUCUCUUUGCCAUAAAUUGCUGCUGUGCUGAUUUCUGUACACCAUUCAGAAAUCCCUGGUCUGAGGAAGGCAGUUCUGGAGCUGGCUGUGUUCAGAGCAUAUGUACAUGCCUGGGGACCUGCACUGUCUGAAUGAUGGUGUGAGCAGCUAUCUGUUAGAGAGCAUCUAUCUGAGCAACCUUCACUUCCACCACCACAUGCCUACUAGACCUGGAAGAUCCAAAAUCCUUCAAGCAGGUUGCAGAAUUCUACAUGGGGAGCCAUAUAGUCCUUGUUUUUGCAGUAAAAUGAAGCACGCAACAGACUGAAGCACAGCAAGCCUCUCUGGGCAUGUCAUGGUGACCCUGCUGUCCCUGGUGUCCAGCUGGACAUCUUCAGCAGGUGGUAAUCACAGAAUGGCAGAAUAUCAUGAGAUGGAAGGCACACACAAGGAUCAUUUAGCUUCGUGCUAUGAGGAGCUGCAGGCUGCCAUGAGGCCUCCCCUCAGUCUCCUCCAGGCUGAACAAACCAAGGGACCUCAGCCUUUUCUCAUGUCUUGACGUCCAGACAAAUGAUGUGAAGCCUGUGCCAUGCUGUCCUAGUCCUGAUCACUCACAAUUUCUUGCCAGUGGUUUCAGGCUGAACUACUGGGCUAUGAAGGAGAGAAGUUGAAGGAGGAGCCAAACUGUUGUCCUCACUGCGAGAACAGAUGGCUUGUCCUUUUCCACUCCCAGGCCUGCAUCUCCUCUCUGCAAAGCAGGCAGUGAGUGGAUCUUUCAGAACUAACCUUGGGGGUCUGCCCUCCCUGCUCCUCUGUGCUGUGCUCACAUCUGUGUCCCUGCAGGCUGAGGCUGGGGGAGCUUUCUCCUUGCAGGUUUCUGUCAUAUGGUGCACAUCAGUAUGGUAUGCUGUUUACUGUCUCGUCUGUUCCAAAAAUGUUACACGGGGGAAAAGCUCUUGGCCAGGGCAAUGUUGAAUUUUCCAGGUUCUGUUCCAUUGGGGUUUCAUUGCUUGCAACCAUUAGCAUGUUUUUUUCUUUAAAUCCAGGCCUCUGCAGCCUUAACUAGCUGACUGGGAUCAUAAGCUUGGUUGAUAUAUGACAGUUUUGAUGGGGAAACACAAGCAAUGGAUGUGGUGACUAGAGAUGACUGGCAAAAGCAUCUUCUUUCUGUGGAAAGUGUUGGGAGUUAUGGCAAUUCACAAUUCCUGCUCAUGCAUGGGGUGCUGAAUGCUGGCAGGGCAGAGUGUAAUUCCUGACAUUGCUGGGAGGCUGGAAGAGAAGAAAAAGCCAAGGAAAGCCUGGCAGUGAAGUCAGUGCUGAUUGUGCAACCCAGCCCAUUGACAUCAUGUAACAUAAUGGUAUAUAAUGUGCGUAUCCGCAGUUCAGUGAAAGGUUCCUAAGAUAAUGAAAGCUCCCAAGAGCUACUGGUAGGCAUGGAAUGUGCUCACAGUGUUAUGUUUGCUUGUAUUUGCUGUUUAAAGUGCAUACAGAGAGACACAGCUCUCUUGGAUGGAGGACAAGAGAGGUUCCUGUUCUGCAGAGCAAACCCUAUGACUUCCUUGAAGAAGUCCUAGAUGUCCUGCCCGCCUCUGAGCUGCAGGCUCUUGGAUUUUGUUUUGGGAGCAGGCCCUUCCACCAACACAGGAGCCAGCAUGGAGACUCCAGCAAGCCAGGGGUGUUCUCUGCAUGGGAGCAGCUGCUGCAGGUUCAAUGCCAAUAGAAACCCAGAUGAACUCAGAUGAGUUUUGACACAUAAAUGAGGUAUCAUAGGAGGACUACAAGACACCAAAGGUCAAUCUCUGUUUGCUGUGUCCAGUGUUGUUUGUUCCUGUGCCUUGCUGGCAAAGAAAAAAAUCCAGCCAGCUCCCACAGAACACUCCCAGUGACCCCCAGUACUGCCUUGAGCUUUCUGAGCACCCUCCUAGAGUGUCCAGUACUACUGAGUUCACCCCAGUACUGACUAGAGAUUCCCAAUGCUCCUUAGAGCUUCCCAGUACCCUCCCAGUGCCCUCAGUACUGACUGGAGACCCCUAAUACCCUUGCAGUGCCGUCAGUACUGACUAGAGUCCCUCAGAGCCCUCCCAGGAUAGCUGUGCAUGCAGUGACAGUGCACUUGGCUGAACUGAGAAAGGAAUAAACCCUUCUGACACCCACCUGAUCUCAAGAAAUUAGUCAGUAAGCUCCCACCUACCGUGAAGAGCAGAUUAGGAGCAUCUGCUGAGAAUCCUGAUUAUCUUUUUUUUUGCUGCCAAAUAUUCUGUGGCUGUCAGUUUUACACAGGUUUGUCAUGGCAGACUCAAUCUGUGUGUGCCUACCAUGCUACAAACAGGUGCAAAGAACACCAUCAUGUUCCCGCUCCACAACAUGGACAUACCUAUGAGACUAGUUUCUCUUUAGAGAUCAAAUGAAGUGCCUUAAGUAGAAGAAGGCAACCUUUGAGGCCUCGUGUUUUUGCCCGAUGUCUGAGCAGGCUGUGAUUUGAGCUGGAGUAAUUUUGCUUGGACAGCAUUAUAUUAGAGGAAACCAUCGCUAUGUUUGAGUUUAAAUUACUCUUUAUUCAUUGUGAUGAAAAGAAAGCAGCAAAGCUCUCUUGUCUCUCUUGAGCCAAGACAGGAGCUGAGUUCCUGCUCUUCCCUGCAGCAGGAGAAAGAGUCUUUCUACUUCACUGGUAAGGUCAAAUAAUGCAAAGCCACAGAUAAAAAUGCAGAGACUGUCUUGUUUUUGUUUUUAUUUCUGUUUUUUCUUUUUUUCUUUUCUUUUUCCUCAGGUAGGAGCAUUUCUUUCAGUCUCUUUUUUCUUUCCCUACCUUCUUUCUUCUAACUCCAUAUCUUUCUAAAAUACAUCAAACAUCUUCUUGAUCACACAUUUCUGAGCACAAUUCUUACCUUUCUCAUAUAGGAUUUUCUUCCAGGGUUUGUGAAGUACUCCUUGUUAGCAUGAAAUGCAGAAAAGCCAGAUGGUUUGGCUGGAGUCCAGUUACCUAAGAAACGUAGCAAUAGGACCCUAUCAGAAGCUGUUUCCUCUAAAGAUCACUCUUGACCUGCUUUGUUCUAAUAACCAGCUUAGAGUCAGCAUUGAGCUGUCAGUGCAUACUUUCCCCCCAUAAUUAAUCUACUAGAGUCAGCCUGAAAUCAAUAUCAGUGACUUUGUGGCUCCUUUUUUCCCCCCUUCAAAUAUUGUUUCUCCAUAUGACCCUUCAAAGGGAUGUUGAAUGACGCAAGCUAUUUUUCACCAGUAGUGCUGUAGUGGAAGUUUUGAUGGUAUUUCUCUCUCCCUGGUCUGAAGCACCUGGUUUGUCCAAGCUCUGGGAUGGCUGGAUAUGCUCUGCUACUUCCCCAGUGGCUUCAGAGCUCCUAUAGCUCCCACGGUUGUUCUGGCCACUGGGUACAGAUGGGGGAUAAGGUGUGUGUUGCUGUGCACGCAUAGUCUGGGACAAAGAAAUGCAUGUGGUCAUGAUCCCUCAGACCAUGAUGAACAGAAUUGUAUCCCAGAAAAGCAGUGCCCAUCACUCAGACAUGGGGGAUGUGAUUUAGCAGCUUCUUAGUGUCUUGCUCCAAGCAGAAUGCUCUGCUCUGCCAAUUGAUUUUUCGUAUUGAGAUCAGAACUGUUUUUUCUUCUUAAUCAAGGGAGAUUGAGAGCUGUCAGGCUCAGUAGGAAUCUGGCCCCCUUGACUCCUGCAGUGUUAUUGCUGUGAUUGCUGGCAUGGUCAGUGCCUUACCUCUAAGGUGUCCUUCUCUCUUCAGAGCUCUUACACUGUUGUUGUCUUUUUUUUUUUUCCUGUCUGUGAUUACUCUUGCGUAAUUGUUCCAUUAAAGUGGAUAUCAAAAUAAUUGGACAGUCCCUCAGUAGAUGUAAAAUUUAUUGUCCGCUUGUGCCUUUGUGCUGAAGUUAGGAUCUUGGAUUUAAAAAAUCCUUUUUCUCCUGGCGAUGUGGGAGUUUCCCCUAAAGAUGUGGAAUGUUUACUGCAUACCAAAGGCAAGAUAUUUUGCAGGCACGAGGCUCCUAACACCUACCAUUUCUAAACUGCAUGUGGCCUGUAUGGAUUUCCUUGUGCUGAAUUCACAUGGAAACACAAACAUAUGUGGCAUUUUUGUUGCUUUUCUAGGAAAUCACUGAGCACAGCCCUGCAAAAUAAUACUUCCUACUGUUAGCUCCACUGAGUGUGGGGGAAGGUGCUGCCUUUGUGUCCCAGGCUGCUGGAGCCACAUGCCAAGGCUUGUGAGUCAUUCACCCUGAGUGUCUGGCUUUCCAGGAAGGCAAAUCCCAAUUUUAGAACUUAUCAUGGACUGAAGAGCACCGUGGGGAAAUAAUAAAGGAAAGGUCAUUGAACAUUAUCAGAACUGGAGGUUUCCAAUGAGAAUCAUGCCAGGAAGUGCAUGAUUAGAAAUAGGAGAAGCUGUGUUGUGUCAAGACAGCUGGAAUAAAGCCAGCAAGAUAUGGACUGCUUUCAGCCUGCUAGUGGUGAAGCAAGCUGACAAGGUGUGAGUAGAGGAGAUUGGGGGGAAAAUGUGAGAAAUUAAUAGCUGCUGUCUUGCUAUGUGUGCUUGGCACCACUGUACAACUAUCAGCUGCCUGGGCAUCACCUGGGAGAUGCGAAGCGGAAGGGCAUCUCUCUUGCCUCUGCUGCUGCCAGGUGAAUAUCAGCACAUGCUGGUGUUCCUCAGAGCUUCAUGAUUGGCACUUGUGGUCCCUCAUGGAGGCACACAGCAAUGCGGUGCUGCACAGUGCAUGGAGAGACACGCAAGUGAAGCACAAGAGGGUAGGACAGAUUGCACUGGAGAGCUUCCCUCUCACUUGGUGCCAUCAGCCUGCUGUCUGUCUUGGGUGGGAGACAUCUUCUCCUUUCCACUUUCAGUCAACAUGGCUGGAAAAAUACCAGUUCUCAGGGAAAGGAGAAGUCCCUUGAUUCUAUGGUGCAUGUAGCAAGAACAAGAAUGCUUUACCUCAGUGUCGUACCUUAAUGCUGAUAUAUCCUCAGCUGGUUUUUUUUGAUUACUUGCAUAUAAUAUAUAUGCAAUAUAUAUACUUUGGAUAUACAGAGCAAAAUACAUGUGUGCUAACAGCAGCUGCAGGACUUCACCUCAGGAAUCAUUCAGUUUCAUCAGUGAAAUCACACUGGAAUGUGCUUCUCAUCCAAACAUUAACCCCACUUAACCUGAAAAAGGUCACACUCCAAGUCUGUCUUGUGUAAGAACAAUUUACUUGACUGGUUUUCUCUAACAGAGCGACCUAGGUGUUCUAUUUAUGUCUCUGCCAUAUCAACUGUUAGAUGGAGAGCUAGAAGAUUUAGCCGUAUUAUGUUCAUAUCAGUUUGCAGGAAAAGACAGCUAAGUGAAAGAGAGAAAGACAAUUUACUUCCCAAGAAAUCCACUUCUGAAAAGCUAAUUAAAGAUAUACACUUUGUACUGAACUCUUGGUCAUGCAAGUGUCUUUCUUGGCCUUUUCUAUGCCUUGCAAGUUCAUCAGAGCUCUUCUAAUUGGGUCUCCUUAUCCUUGGUGAGCCCUAAUCCUCCUUCAAUUAAUGUUCAAUUUUAGCACUACUGUCAUGCCUCCUUUAGCUGUUCUAGACACCUCCUCACAAGAAACCUUAAAAUGUCCAACUUCUACUUUAGUCUUCCUACCCAAGCCCUGAGCAAUGCUCACAGUUGGUAUCUACAGCUGCUUUGCAAAUGUCAUCCAAAUUGACUACAAUGUGUUCAUGACUUGUACUGCAAGACUGUGGUAAUAUUUCUUACUGUGAUACUAGCUGUAAGAAAGCCAUUGGGGUGUGGUUGGUGAUAGCCCUAAAAUGCUCCUUGCAAGGAAGUGUGUCCCUGCAAGACCCUCUGGGAAAUGAAUGCAAUGCCACCAGACACGAGAGCACACCCAAGAAACCCACCAGAGGCACACUGAUUAUUUCAGUCCAGGUUAUUACCUCUGCUGUGGUUACAUUAUACACUUUGAUCUCAUUCAUCCUAAAAGCACGGAAAGCAUUGGAUCACCACACAUUACUUAUUUUAAACAGUAAGUGAAGGGUCUUCCAGUAAGCGGAUGUUUUUCUCCACCUGGUUUGACUUGAGCUAUCUUUUCCAUCAUGUGCAGUAGUGACAAAGCAGUGGCACUGCUGACAUCUUUGUGACAUACCAGGACAACGUAAGUCCUUUUCUAGUGAACAACUUCAGAAAUUACCAUUGUUUCUUCUGCUGAUUACAUUUUCUGGAAACUCUUAUUAGCUCUUAAGUACUUGCUGAAGCUUUAAUUAAGCAUUCAUAUCUCAUUUGGAAUAGGACUUCAGACAAAACCGAGGGACACCAAGCUUCUUGGUAUGUCCAAAAGCUGUUGAUAGUCCCCAAAAAUACACAAGGAAUGUUGGUGACGUGCUAAAUUUUCACUUUUCUCAGAAGUAAGAAAAACAGAAGGAUCCUCAGUAAUGAUGAUUCUUCUGACUGACAAGAAUGUGCACCAUGAGGCUGUUAUUUGGUUUUAAAUUAUAUCCUCAAGGCAGCACCAGUUUUUUCUGCAGAUAGAAUAGGAAUCUAAUAAGUUUUCAAGUGGUUGAAAGAUUCCAGCCAAGUCCAACUCCACUUUGUCUGUGACAGUGGAAAUCCUGGCUCUCAGAAUUGGAGUUGUGGAAAAAUUCUGGAAAGGAGUAUUUAAUGGCCUUUCAGGGAGCCUGAAAAGCCCGCAGAGAGUUUUUUUCUUCUAGGAAGGAUAAAGCAGCAGUAGCUGAUUUACGAGAUAUGAACACCCAUGAAGGUUUUUUGGAUGCAGAAGGUGGCUGGUAUGUGACCAGAGAUAAAUGUCCACGCUGUCAUUGCUGCAGAGGGAGAGAGCCUUGCACUGCCUUGGGACCAGCUGCAGCAGGGCCUGCACAAGCCCUUAUUGUCAGUGUGGAUGCUUGGAUGCUAGGUGUGCAUUUCUACUGCAUCUCUGAACUAUGAUAAAGGCACUCCUGGGUACAUCUGUGCUGCUGCCAUCAUCUUGUUCUUACAGUCAUUGCAUGCCUCAAGAAGAAGAGAGGCUUAGUGCUGGUGUCAGGAUGGAGCAAAGGAGCAGCAGAUGCUGGCACUCAGCAUGCCCAGGCAACACUGUGCCAUAAGGCCAUCUCUGAAGCUGUUUACCAAACCUGCAUAAUGUAAUUUAAAACCUUAUUCCAAUAAAGGCCUAUGUUUCUGGGUGUAAAUUGUGAAGUGUGAAGUACAUUGCCAGCAACCGCUGUCUCUCACCCACCUUUCUCAGUGCACAGACAUUGGCUUAUAUUUCUGAGCAUUGCAUUGCUUUGUGCAGCUUGGGAGGAUAGGAAGGGAGCAGUGAAAGAUUCUGGAGUGGGGGCUUGAACUGGUGGCAUAAUUUUUUCCAUUGCAAAUGUUUGUUAGCAGACUAGACUGAUGAGUACUAAACAGAGUAAAUAGUCUGACCAAAACACUGUGGGAAUCAGACAC
ensembl:lncRNA